GUCGGCAGCCAUAUCACCCUGUAACCCAAGACUGGUUGCCCACUGAAGCUAAGCAGGGCUGAGCUGGUCAGUACCUGGAUGGGAGACCUUCUGGGAAAACUAGGUUGCUGCUGGAA
rnacentral:rRNA from 1 species